rnacentral:rRNA from 1 species
GACGAACGCUGGCGGCGUGCCUAACACAUGCAAGUCGAACGCUGACGGCUGGUACUUGUACCCAUUGGAUGUGCAGCGAACGGGUGAGUAACGCGUGGAGACUCUGCUUCUGAGCGGGGGAAAACAUUGGGAAACGAAUGCUAAUACCGCAUCAAAACUUUUAACACAAGUUUUAAGUGUGAAUGAUGCAAUUGCAUCACUCAUAGCUGCUUCUGCGUUUUAUUAGCUAGUUGGUGAGGUAAAAGCCCACCAAGGCGAUGCUGCCUAGCCGGCCUGAGAGGGCGAUCGGCCACCUUGGGACUGAGACCCGGCCCAAUCGGCUUCAGGAGGCAGCAAGAGGGAAACGUCGGCAAUGGACGGAAAUCUGGCCAAACAACGCCGCGGGAGGGAAGAAGGUUUUCGGGUCGGGAAACUCUGUUGGUAGGGAAGAACGUUCGUGAGGGUGGGAAGCUGAUCAAGUGACGGUAACUACAGAAGAAGCGACGGCUAACUACGUG